CUCCCCGUCAGCGGGGUGCGGAGCGCCCCCGGAGGUGGCUCACGGCUCACCAAUGGGCGUCACCAGAGAUCGCUACGCCGUCAACUCCAAAGUGCGCUACCAGUGUCAAGCGGGCUACACGCAGCGCCACCUACCUGUCAUACGUUGUAUGGAAAAUGGACAGUGGGAGAGUCCACAAGUGGAAUGUACAGAAACUGGCGGCAACAGGCUACACAAACGAUCGGUGAGGAGCAGAAGUCGAGGAGUCAGCAGCCGACGGGAGUAGAGGAAGACCCUCUGAGCAGCUGGACUGAAUGAAGUACAAGUGAGAAUCACAAAAAAAGGACCCCUCUCGUGGACACCAACGCUAAUGCCCGACCAAAAAUAAAAGGCAUUCCGCUCAGCUUCCAAUGUAAAUACAAGCACGAAAACACAUUUAGACAGUAAAGAUGCAACUGACUCACGUUCCCUCCUUCGGUGUCUUUAGUGAAGGCACUUACAUUAUUUUAUUUAUAGAGUCUAUAAUUUAUAGCUGUAACUCAUGUUGUCCAUGCACAAGUACUCCUGGAGGAGUCACCAGAAGCCUUUGAAAGUGUUAUUGAUUGCAAAUGGUAGCGUGUUGCUGUAUUUUUGGCCCUUUUUUUUCUGGGUCUGUGUUUGUACUUUUUGUUCCCCGCUGGCUACUUUUUCAAAGAUUUUAUUCCAACACUGUGAUUCUCAAGUGACGUCAUCAAUGAUCAGACUCAUGUAGUGCAGGGCAAUGUUUUUUAUGAUUUGUUUUGAGGGGGUUUCGACCCACAACAUUCCAUUUGUCCCCAUAAACUGGUUCACAGUUAUGAACAAACUGCUCCCUAAUAAAUUGAGGACAGGAAAGGUUUACCGAUGACGGAAUCAUUUUUGGAUUUUUAGGAAAACGCAUUCGUGAGGUUCAUUGAAGACUCAGAAUUAUGUUUGAUGUUU